CCUACGGGAGGCAGCAGUGGGGAAUUUUGGACAAUGGGCGCAAGCCUGAUCCAGCAAUGCCGCGUGAGUGAAGAAGGCCUUCGGGUUGUAAAGCUCUUUUGUCAGGGAAGAAACGGUGGGAGCUAAUAUCUCCCGCUAAUGACGGUACCUGAAGAAUAAGCACCGGCUAACUACGUGCCAGCAGCCGCGGUAAUACGUAGGGUGCAAGCGUUAAUCGGAAUUACUGGGCGUAAAGCGUGCGCAGGCGGUUUUGUAAGUCUGUCGUGAAAGCCCCGGGCUCAACCUGGGAAUUGCGAUGGAGACUGCAAGGCUUGAAUCUGGCAGAGGGGGGUAGAAUUCCACGUGUAGCAGUGAAAUGCGUAGAGAUGUGGAGGAACACCGAUGGCGAAGGCAGCCCCCUGGGUCAAGAUUGACGCUCAUGCACGAAAGCGUGGGGAGCAAACAGGAUUAGAUACCCUGGUAGUCCACGCCCUAAACGAUGUCUACUAGUUGUCGGGUUUUAAUUAACUUGGUAACGCAGCUAACGCGUGAAGUAGACCGCCUGGGGAGUACGGUCGCAAGAUUAAAACUCAAAGGAUUGACGG
rnacentral:rRNA from 1 species